rnacentral:rRNA from 1 species
AGGACGAACGCUGGCGGCGUGCUUAACACAUGCAAGUCAAGGGGGCCCAGCAAUGGGCAACCGGCGAACGGGUGCGUAACACGUGAGCAACCUACCGAAAUGUGGGGGAUAGCCGGCCUAACGGCCGAGUAAUACCGCAUACGCUCUCGAUGAGGCAUUUCAUUGAGAGGAAACCUACGGGACAUUUCGAGGGGCUCGCGGCCUAUCAGCUAGUUGCGAGGUAACGGCUCACCAAGGCAACGACGGGUA